GAUGAACGCUGGCGGCGUGCCUAAUACAUGCAAGUCGAGCGAAUGGAUUAAGAGCUUGCUCUUAUGAAGUUAGCGGCGGACGGGUGAGUAACACGUGGGUAACCUGCCCAUAAGACUGGGAUAACUCCGGUAAACCGGGGCUAAUACCGGAUAACAUUUUGAACCGCAUGGUUCGAAUUUGAAAGGAGGCUUCAGCUGUCACUUAUGGAUGGACCCGCGUCGCAUUAGCUAGUUAGUGAGGUAACGGCUCACCAAGGCAACGAUGCGUAGCCGACCUGAGAGGGUGAUCGGCCACACUGGGACUGAGACACGGCCCAGACUCCUACGGGAGGCAGCAGUAGGGAAUCUUCCGCAAUGGACGAAAGUCUGACGGAGCAACGCCGCGUGAGUGAUGAAGGCUUUCGGGUCGUAAAACUCUGUUGUUAGGGAAGAACAAGUGCUAGUUGAAUAAGCUGACACCUUGACGGUACCUAACCAGAAAGCCACGGCUAACUACGUGCCAGCCGCCGCAGUAA
rnacentral:rRNA from 1 species